rnacentral:rRNA from 1 species
GAGAAAGUUUUCUUCGGAAAGCGAGUAGAGUGGCGCACGGGUGAGUAACGCGUAGGUAAUCUACCCUUAUACCUGGGAUAACAUUGGGAAACUGGUGCUAAUACCGGAUACACUUCUUUGCUGCGGGGCGAAGGAGGAAAGGUGGCCUCUUCAUGAAGGCUACCGUAUAGGGAUGAGCCUGCGUACCAUUAGCUAGUAGGUAGGGUAACGGCCUACCUAGGCCACGAUGGUUAGCGGGUCUGAGAGGAUGAUCCGCCACACUGGAACUGGAACACGGACCAGACUCCUACGGGAGGCAGCAGUGAGGAAUAUUGCGCAAUGGGGGAAACCCUGACGCAGCGACGCCGCGUGAGUGAGGAAGGUCUUCGGAUCGUAAAGCUCUGUCAGAAGGGAAGAAGUGUUAGGUGGUUAAUACCCAUUUAAUUUGACGGUACCUUCAGAGGAAGCACCGGCUAACUCCGUGCCAGCAGCCGCGGUAAUACGGAGGGUGCUAGCGUUGUUCGGAAUUACUGGGCGUAAAGGGCGCGUAGGCGGCUGGAUAAGUCAGAUGUGAAAGCCCACGGCUUAACUGUGGAAGUGCAUUUGAAACUGUCCGGCUUGAGUAUCGGAGGGGAGUGUGGAAUUCCCGGUGUAGAGGUGAAAUUCGUAGAGAUCGGGAGGAACACCGGUGGCGAAGGCGACACUCUGGACGAAUACUGACGCUGAGGCGCGAAAGCGUGGGGAGCAAACAGGAUUAGAUACCCCUGGGUAGUCC